UGGGGAAUAUUGCGCAAUGGGCGAAAGCCUGACGCAGCGACGCCGCGUGAGGGAUGACGGCCUUCGGGUUGUAAACCUCUUUCAGCGCCGAAGAAGCGAAAGUGACGGUAGGCGCAGAAGAAGCACCGGCUAACUACGUGCCAGCAGCCGCGGUAAUACGUAGGGUGCAAGCGUUGUCCGGAUUUAUUGGGCGUAAAGAGCUCGUAGGCGGUCUGUUACGUCGGAUGUGAAAACCCGGGGCUUAACUCCGGGCCUGCAUACGAUACGGGCAGACUAGAGUGUGGUAGGGGAGACUGGAACUCCUGGUGUAGCGGUGAAAUGCGCAGAUAUCAGGAAGAACACCGGUGGCGAAGGCGGGUCUCUGGGCCACUACUGACGCUGAGGAGCGAAAGCGUGGGGAGCAAACA
rnacentral:rRNA from 1 species